GCUCGCAGUACCAAAAUCAGCACACGUAAUAGGCGCCAUGACAGCGGAAGAGAUCGCCUACCUUGGCGCAUCUGAUUGGACAGUACAUAUAGACCGCCCCGUCAUCACUGAGUGACUCCGGCGCUUUUGCCCUCCCCCAAGCCGAGAAUAAACAGAAACAAACCCGUACUUGCGAGAGAGGCUCCCAAACUAAAAGACUGUAUUGCAGAGACUUCUGGACCAGGUCGUAGUCAACAAUGCUGAUCUCACAUUGCCUGAGGGAUAUUUGCAUUGAAGGGCUGCUUCUGUUUUCUUAAAGGACUCAAUGGACUCUUACUGUAAUGGCUGGCAAAAGGGGCCUCUCACUCCCUGACACAGUAUUUCAACUUUAUUGAAGACUGAUGGACCUCUGCCUGACCUCAUCACACUUGAUUUUGAGCUCCCUUGCCAAACAGAAGAGAAUUUCCCAAUCUGAGCCAUGAGAAGAUGAGGACAGAGAAGAGUUUAGCUCUUGGCAACCAACAUGAAGCAAUCAAUGGAGGCUGACUGGUACUGAGACUUCUGUGUCUAGGGGCACCGAGUUUCAAGGAUAAAAUAAUUGAUAUGCGGCUCAUUGAUCUGAGUGGGAAAUACCUGUUAUGAGGAAAAAGUGUUGUCAUGUCAGAGGACUUGGCAUUGGAGAGCUAAAUAAACAAAAAACAAAAAUAAACAAAAAAAGUGGAAAAGAG